rnacentral:rRNA from 1 species
GACGAACGCUGGCGGCGUGCUUAACACAUGCAAGUCGAACGGAAAGGCCCUGCUUUUGUGGGGUGCUCGAGUGGCGAACGGGUGAGUAACACGUGAGUAACCUGCCCUUGACUUUGGGAUAACUUCAGGAAACUGGGGCUAAUACCGGAUAGGAGCUCCUGCUGCAUGGUGGGGGUUGGAAAGUUUCGGCGGGUGGGGAUGGACUCGCGGCUUAUCAGCUUGUUGGUGGGGUAGUGGCUUACCAAGGCUUUGACGGGUAGCCGGCCUGAGAGGGUGGCCGGCCACAUUGGGACUGAGAUACGGCCCAGACUCCUACGGGAGGCAGCAGUGGGGAUUAUUGCACAAUGGGCGGAAGCCUGAUGCAGCAACGCCGCGUGCGGGAUGCCGGCCUUCGGGUUGUAAACCGCUUUCGCCUGUGACGAAGCGUGAGUGACGGUAAUGGGUAAAGAAGCACCGGCUAACUACGUG